rnacentral:rRNA from 1 species
CUAAGAAUAUUCCGCAAUGGGGGGAAACCCUGACGGAGCGACGCCGCGUGGACGAGGAAGGCCGGAAGGUUGUAAAGUCCUUUUGAACCGGAAGAAUAAGCAGUGCAGGGAAUGGCAGUGUGGUGACGGUACGGUUUGAAUAAGCAACGGCUAAUUACGUGCCAGCAGCCGCGGUAACACGUAAGUUGCGAGCGUUGUUCGGAAUUAUUGGGCGUAAAGGGUAUGUAGGCGGUUCUGCAAGUCUGGUGUGAAAUGCCGGGGCUCAACCCCGGAACUGCGUUGGAAACUGCAGGACUUGAAUCGCUGAGGGGCAGCCAGAAUUCCAGGUGUAGGGGUGAAAUCUGUAGAUAUCUGGAAGAAUACCAAUGGCGAAGGCAGGCUGCCAGCAGAUGAUUGACGCUGAGGUACGAAGGUGCGGGGAGCAAACAGGAUUA